UAUAAAUGUUGAAUAUAUCAUCACCUCACCUUUUUAACUUUUGGUAAUACUCCGAUAGUCGUAUAUAUAGUACCGAAACGUCUAGAGCUCGGUGAAGUCGCGUGAGAACAACCAUUACCAUAGGGAAUAUUAACCUUUGGGAAAUCUGUCCAGAGGUUGAUGGUGUAGUCCAAUAAAAAUACGGAAGUCUAUAAA
rfam:Desulfosporosinus sp. OL contig00044, whole genome shotgun sequence.